rnacentral:rRNA from 1 species
AACGAACGCUGGCGGCAGGCCUAACACAUGCAAGUCGAACGCUCCGCAAGGGGAGUGGCGCACGGGUGAGUAACACGUGGGAACCUACCUUCUGGUACGGAACAACCAAGGGAAACUUUGCUAAGACCGUAUACGACCUCCGGGUGAAAGAUUGAUCGCCGGAAGAGGGGCCCGCGUCCGAUUAGGUAGUUGGUGAGGUAACGGCUCACCAAGCCUUCGAUCGGUAGCUGGUCUGAGAGGAUGACCAGCCACACUGGGACUGAGACACGGCCCACGACUCCUACGGGAGGCAGCAGUGGGGAAUAUUUGGACAAUGGGCGCAAGCCUGAUCCAGCCAUGCCGCGUGAGUGAUGAAGGCCUUCGGUUGUU